UACGAAGGGGGCUAGCGUUGCUCGGAAUCACUGGGCGUAAGGGUGCGUAGGCGGGUCUUUAAAGCAGGGGGGAAAUCCUGGAGCUCAACUCCAGAACUGCCUUUGAUACUGAGGAUCUUGAGUUCGGGAGAGGUGAGUGGAACUGCGAGUGUAGAGGUGAAAUUCGUAGAUAUUCGCAAGAACACCAGUGGCGAAGGCGGCUCACUGGCCCGAUACUGACGCUGAGGCACGAAAGCGUGGGGAGCAAACAGG
rnacentral:rRNA from 1 species